rnacentral:rRNA from 1 species
GAUGAACGCUAGCGGCAGGCCUAACACAUGCAAGUCGAGGGGCAGCACAGAAACAGCAAUGUCUUGGUGGCGACCGGCGGACGGGUGCGUAACGCGUAUGCAACCUACCUUUAACAGGGGGAUAACGGAGAGAAAUUUCCACUAAUACCCCAUAACAUCGAUCAAGGCAUCUUGAUUGGUUGAAAACUCCGGUGGUUAAAGAUGGGCAUGCGUUGUAUUAGGUAGUUGGUGAGGUAAUGGGUCACCAAGCCUACGAUACAUAGGGGGACUGAGAGGUUAGCCCCCCACACUGGUACUGAGACACGGACCAGACUCCUACGGGAGGCAGCAGUGAGGAAUAUUGGUCAAUGGGGGCAACCCUGAACCAGCCAUGCCGCGUGCAGGAAGACGGCUCUAUGAGUUGUAAACUGCUUUUAAACAGGGAUAAAGCACAGUAUGUAUACUGUGUUGAAGGUACUGUAAGAAUAAGGAUCGGCUAACUCCGUGCCAGCCGCCGCAGUAA